AUUAACCAACCUUCUUCUUU
rnacentral:sRNA from 1 species